rnacentral:rRNA from 1 species
CCAAGGCUAAAUACUCCUAACUGACCGAUAGUGAACUAGUACCGUGAGGGAAAGGCGAAAAGAACCCCGGAGAGGGGAGUGAAAUAGACCCUGAAACCGUAUGCGUACAAGCAGUCAGAGCCCCUUCGGGGGUGAUGGCGUACCUUUUGUAUAAUGGGUCAGCGACUUACUUUCAGNAGCAAGCUUAACCNUNUAGGGGAGGCGUAGGGAAACCGAGUCUUAAUAGGGCGAUUUAGUUGCUGGGAGUAGACCCGAAACCAGGCGAUCUAUCCAUGGCCAGGGUGAAGGUUCGGUAACACGGACUGGAGGCCCGAACCCACUNAUGUUGAAAAAUNAGGGGAUGAGCUGUGGAUCGGAGUGAAAGGCUAAUCAAGCCUGGAGAUAGCUGGUUCUCCACGAAAUCUAUUUAGGUAGAGCGUCAUGUCUCACCACUGGGGGUAGAGCACUGUNUCGGCUAGGGGGNCAUCCCGNCUUACCAACCCGAUGCAAACUCCGAAUACCAGUGAGUGCAAUCAUGGCAGACANACGGCGGGUGCUAACGUCCGUCGUNNAAAGGGAAACAACCCAGACCGCCAGCUAAGGUCCCAAAAUCACAGUUAAGUGGGAAACGAUGUGGGAAGGCACAGACAGCUAGGAGGUUGGCUUAGAAGCAGCCACCCUUUAAAGAAAGCGUAAUAGCUCACUAGUCGAGUCGGCCCGCGCGGAAGAUGUAACGGGGCUAAAACUGUGUACCGAAGCUGUGGGCAUGUACCUCUCUUGAGAAGUAUAUGCGGUAGCGGAGCGUUCUGUAUGCCAGCGAAGGUGUUUCGUAAGGAAUGCUGGAGGUAUCAGAAGUGCGAAUGCUGACAUGAGUAACGAUAAGGGAGGUGAAAAACCUCCCCGCCGGAAGACCAAGGUUUCCUGUGCUACGCUAAUCGGCACAGGGUGAGUCGGCCCCUAAGGCGAGGCAGAAAUGCGUAGUCGAUGGGAAGCAGGUUAAUAUUCCUGCACUUGCGUUUAUUGCGAUGGAGGGACGGAGAAGGCUAGACCAGCGCGGCGAUGGUUGUCCGCGUUUAAGCAAGUAGGUUGAGGGAUUUGGUAAAUCCGGUUCCUUAUAACUGAGAUGUGAUGCCGAACCGGGCCAACGCGCCCGGGAAGUGGUCAAUGCCAUACUUCCUGGAAAAGCUCCUAAGCUUCAGAUAAUCGCGAACCGUACCCCAAACCAACACAGGUGGUCAGGUAGAGAAUACCAAGGCGCUUGAGAGAACUCGGGUGAAGGAACUAGGCAAAAUGGCACCGUAACUUCGGGAGAAGGUGCGCCGCUGACGGUGAUCGGACUUGCUCCGUAAGCUGUUGGUGGUCGAAGAUACCAGGUGGCUGCGACUGUUUACUAAAAACACAGCACUCUGCAAACUCGUAAGAGGACGUAUAGGGUGUGACGCCUGCCCGGUGCCGGAAGGUUAAUUGAUUGGGUUAGACCUUAGUCGAAGCUCAUGAUCGAAGCCCCGGUAAACGGCGGCCGUAAAAAUAACGGUCCUAAGGUAGCGAAAUUCCUUGUCGGGUAAGUUCCGACCUGCACGAAUGGCGUAACGAUGGCCACACUGUCUCCA